UACGAGGGGGGCAAGCGUUGUUCGGAAUUAUUGGGCGUAAAGGGUGCGUAGGCGGUCUGACAAGUCUGAUGUGAAAUCUAUGGGCUCAACCCAUAGUCUGCAUCGGAAACUGUCGGGCUUGAGUAUGGGAGAGGUGAGUGGAAUUUCCGGUGGUGAGCGGUGAAAUGCGUAGAUAUCAGGAGGAACACCUGUGGCGAAAGCGGCUCACUGGACCAUAACUGACGCUGAUGCACGAAAGCUAGGGGGAGCAAACAGG
rnacentral:rRNA from 1 species